rnacentral:tmRNA from 1 species
CGGAUGAUCGAGUGGUGUCCAGGUGUACGUCGCAUGGGACGCAGUCGCGCCCAGCACGGUGAAAAGAAACAGUGUGACCGCGGCUAUCGAGCGCAUGAGCUUCCGCUGUUAGAUGAUCUGUCAAAACAGGAUGUUAUGGCCUUAUUUGAGCCUAACACAAAUCGGCAGCUUUGCAAGGAAUUUGCGGGACGGGUUUUACACCCGUUCUCGUGACUGGCACUGCCGAGAUUGGACGAGAGCUACACACGUAGACGCGCUGGCCGGAAGCCAUGCGGACGCGGGUUCGAUUCCCGCCGCCUCCACCA